rnacentral:rRNA from 1 species
AGUGAACGCUGGCGGUAGGCCUAACACAUGCAAGUCGAACGGCAGCACAGUAAGAGCUUGCUCUUACGGGUGGCGAGUGGCGGACGGGUGAGGAAUACAUCGGAAUCUACUUUUUCGUGGGGGAUAACGUAGGGAAACUUACGCUAAUACCGCAUACGACCUACGGGUGAAAGCAGGGGAUCUUCGGACCUUGCGCGAUUGAAUGAGCCGAUGUCGGAUUAGCUAGUUGGCGGGGUAAAGGCCCACCAAGGCGACGAUCCGUAGCUGGUCUGAGAGGAUGAUCAGCCGCACUGGAACUGAGACACGGUCCAGACUCCUACGGGAGGCAGCAGUGGGGAAUAUUGGACAAUGGGCGCAAGCCUGAUCCAGCCAUGCCGCGUGGGUGAAGAAGGCCUUCGGGUUGUAAAGCCCUUUUGUUGGGAAAGAAAAGCAGCAGAUUAAUACCCCGCUGUUCUGACGGUACCCAAAGAAUAAGCACCGGCUAACUUCGUG